UACGGAGGAGGCAAGCGUUAUCCGGAAUUAUUGGGCGUAAAGCGUCCGCAGGUGGCUAUUCAAGUCUGCGGUCAAAGACUGGGGCUUAACCCUGGAAAGGCCGUGGAAACUGAAGAGCUAGAGUGCAGUAGGGGUAGAGGGAAUUCCCGGUGUAGCGGUGAAAUGCGUAGAGCUCGGGAAGAACAGCGGUGGCGAAAGCGCUCUGCUGGACUGCAACUGACACUCAGGGACGAAAGCUAGGGGAGCGAAUGGG
rnacentral:rRNA from 1 species